rnacentral:rRNA from 1 species
AGAGUUUGAUCAUGGCUCAGAAUGAACGCUAGCGGCGUGCUUAACUACAUGCAAGUCGUACGAGAACUCUUUAGCUUGCUAAAGAUAGUAAAGUGGCGCACGGGUGAGUAACGCGUGGGUAAUCUACCUCUGAAUUUGGGAUAACUCCGCGAAAGCGGGGCUAAUACCGGAUAAUAUUUCAGGAUUUUCGGGUCUUGAAAUCAAAAGUGGCCUCUACAUGUAAGCUACUGUUUGGAGAUGAGCCCGCGUACCAUUAGCUUGUUGGUAGGGUAAUGGCCUACCAAGGCUACGAUGGUUAGCUGGUCUGAGAGGAUGAUCAGCCACACUGGAACUGAUACUCGGUCCGACUCCUACGGGAGG